UACAGAGGUCUCAAGCGUUGUUCGGAUUCAUUGGGCGUAAAGGGUGCGUAGGCGGCGCGGCAAGUGGGGUGUGAAAGCCCUCGGCUCAACCGAGGAAUUGCGCUCCAAACUACCGUGCUCGAGGGAGAUAGAGGUUAGCGGAACUUCGGGUGGAGCGGUGAAAUGCGUUGAUAUCCGAAGGAACACCGGUGGCGAAAGCGGCUAACUGGGUCUUCUCUGACGCUGAUGCACGAAAGCCAGGGUAGCAAACGGG
rnacentral:rRNA from 1 species